rnacentral:rRNA from 1 species
UUACGAAUGACGGAAAUUGGGUGAUUGACUCCGGAGAAGGAGCCUGAGAGAUGGCUACUACAUCUAAGGAAGGCAGCAGGCGCGCAAAUUUCCCAAUGCUCAAAGAGCGAGGAAGUGACACCGAUUAUUAAUGUCUUUGUUUUAAACUUGGACAAUUGGAAUGAGAACGAUUUAAAACUCCUAUCGAGGAUCAAUUAGAGGGCAAGUCUGGUGCCAGCAGCCGCGGUAAUUCCAGCUCUAAGAGGGUAUAUCAAAAUUGUUGCAGUUGAAACGCUCGUAGUCGAAUUUCGUUUUCGUUUAUUUGGAUGUUGUCAUUGGAGAAAUCCUUGGCAUGCCAAUGUGGGAAUUUUUGGGUAAUUUUUCAUUAAAUUGCCCUCCGUUACUGAGAGCAAAUUGGAUUGUUUAAAGAAGGCCUUAUAGCUAUGAACAUUUUAGCUUGGAAUGACAACUAAUAACUCGGGUUAUUUUGUUGGUUAAAUAACAAAGAGUGAUGAUUAACAGAAACAGUUGCGGGGGUACUUGUAUUUGUCGGUCAGAGGUGAAAUUCUUGGAUUCGACAACGACAAACGACUGCGAAAGCAUUUACCAAGGAUGUUUUCAUUGAUCAAGAACGAAAGAAUGAGGAUCGAAGAUGAUUAGAUACCAUCGUAGUUCAUUCCAUAAUCGAUGCCGACUCGGGGUUUGCUUUUUAUUCUUUUAUCGAAUGAAGCAGGUACCGUAUGAGAAAUCACAAGUCUUUGGGUUCCGGGGGGAGUACGAUCGCAAGAUUGAAACUUUAAGGAAUUGACGGAAGUUCACACCAGAGGUGGAGCCUGCGGUUUAAUUUGACCCAACACGGGAAAACUUACCAGGUCCAGAUAUGAGGAGGAUUGACAGUUUGAAAGCACUUUCUUGAUUUCAUAGGUGGUGGUGCAUGGCCGUUCUUAGUUGGUGGAGUGAUUUGUCUGGUUGAUUCCGAUAACGAACGAGACGAGCGUACUUUGCUGGUUGCCUUUGUUUCUCACGAAACUUACAACCUCCCAAGUAGACAACUCAUUUCUAAUGAGAGGAAGCCGCCCGCAAUAACAGGUCUGUGAUGCCCUUAGAUGUUCUGGGCCACACGCGCGCUACACUGAUUGGUUCAACGAGUUGUUUUUUCCUUGCCCGGAAGGGUGUGGGUAAUCUUUUCAAUACCAAUCGUGAUGGGGCUUGAACAUUGUAAUUAUUGUUCAUCAACGAGGAAUCUCUAGUAAGUAGAAGUCAUUAGCUUCUGCUGAAUGCGUCCCUGGACUUUGUACACACCGCCCGUCGCACCUACCGAUGAAUCUUAUCUUUAGGCGUUUGGAGGCUGUUUUACUUCGGUUUGACGGUUGAAAUUCUCCGAAAGUUGAAAUUUAGAGGAAGGUGAAGUCGUAACAAGGUU